rnacentral:rRNA from 1 species
UACGUAGGGUCCAAGCGUUAUCCGGAAUCACUGGGCGUAAAGCGUUCGUAGGCGGUUUUUCAAGUUGGGUGUGAAAUCCUGUGGCUCAACCAUAUGGACUGUGCCCAAAACUGAAAGACUAGAGCAUAGUAGAGGCAAGUGGAACUUGCGGUGUAGGGGUGACAUCCGUAGAUAUCGCAAAGAACACCAAUGGCGAAGGCAGCUUGCUGGGCUAUUGCCGACGCUCAGGAACGAAAGCGUGGGGAGCGAACGGAGUA